rnacentral:rRNA from 1 species
GACGGAGGAUGCAAGUGUUAUCCGGAAUCACUGGGCGUAAAGCGUCUGUAGGUGGUUUAAAAAGUCCACUGUUAAAAAUUGAAGCUUAACUUCAAAGAUGCCGUGGAAACUUUUAAACUUGAGUAUGGUAGGGGUAGAGGGAAUUUCCAGUGGAGCGGUGAAAUGCGUAGAUAUUGGAAAGACCACCAAUGGCGAAGGCACUCUACUGGGCCAUUACUGACACUGAGAGACGAAAGCGUGGGGAGCGAACAGG